rnacentral:lncRNA from 1 species
CCAAUCAUUACUCUCGUUACGUCCCACCUAGAGAUGCCAUGGGGCUUGUCCAGAUUUCCCAACUGAGGUUUCAGUGAAGGGACAGGCUGGCUGGUAACAGUGUGAUCAGGAGAGAGUGAGUGAGUGAGAGUUUGACUGAGAGCAGUGUGUGAUUUCAGAUCUUCUACCAGGUGAAUCUCUCACCCAGGGAGGUAGCACACUGUGACAGCGGUAUCAACCAGACUCUGACAGAGAAUUGGAAGAAAGUCAUGUAUCUACCCAGGCCAGAGAACCAGCCGUGAGUAGCCACUAUCUGGCUUUCACUUGUUCCAGACACGCUAUUUACCAUACCUGAGGUGGUGUACUGCAGUGCUGUUUACUGACCUGUUGAACUUGGUAUCUCCUCUACUGAGCCAGGUAAAAGACAAAAGGCGGUCUCCCCCUUCGGACAGGCCUCCCACCUCCCCCCACGCCAACCCUCACCACAGUGCCUCCCCAGAGGACCAGGAGAGCCCGGAGAGAGUGGUUCAGAAAGAGAAACUGCAUGCAGAGCUGAAACAGGUGCUGAGUCUGAAGAGAAGUCACCUGAAAGAGUCGUCUCGUUUGGCCCAAGCAGAGAUGGAUUCCUCAGAGGCCCACGCAGUGGUAAAGAGCCAAGAAACCACUAAUACUCAUGAAACAGGAACAUUUACACAGGCCUAGAAAACACUCAGAAUCGCAUGCCAUUCUACUGUUCACAUCUGAAGACGAGACCUUCAUUGUAUUUAUUAUUAUUUAUUUUAAUUGAACCUUUAUUUAACGAGGCAAGUCAGUUAAAAACUCAUUCUUAUUUACAAUGACG